GAAGACCGGAAGCCACGGCCCGGCCCCAUCCUUACUUUCGCGUCCCCCCCGGGGCUGGGAGCCGCGAAGCUGGCGGAGGGAGAGGCUGGAGGCUGGCUGAGAGAUAAAGGGAAGCGUCCCCUCAGCCCGCGCUCCCUUCUCAGUCACGGGCUCCUGGAGCGCGCCGCGGAGGACGCCGGGCCAGCUCAGACCCGCGCCGAGGAGGCGCAGCCCGCGGCGGGGACCGAUCAGCGACAUCUGAGGCCCGUCUCCCGCGCCGUCUCCACCGCCGCCGCCAUGUCCUCCUCCUCCUCCUCCUCCCCCAAGGAGGAGACGUACGAGGAGGACCGGGAGUUCGAGAGCCAGGCCAAGCGCCUCAAGACCGAGGAGGGAGAGAUCGUCUACUCGGCCGAGGAGAGCGAGAAUCGCCAGGAAGCGACGCCUCAGGCGGGGAGCGAUAGCGACAGCGGCGGCGGCGACGGAGGCGACGGAGACGGAGGCAGCGGCGGCGGCGGCGACGGCGAGGAAGGCGAAGGUGGAGAAGAAGGCGACGAAGGCGACGGCGAUGAGGGAGGGAGCGGCGGCGACGAAGGUGGCAGCGGCGGUGGCCCUCGGAGCAUGCCCCUGUCCACGGAGGGAGGUGGAAGUCAUCAUAAAGUUUCUGUUUCCCCUGUUGUCCAUGUUCGAGGGCUCUGUGAAUCUGUUGUGGAAGCUGACCUUGUGGAGGCACUGGAGAAAUUUGGGACAAUAUGCUAUGUGAUGAUGAUGCCAUUUAAACGACAGGCUCUCGUGGAGUUUGAAAAUAUAGAUAGUGCCAAAGAAUGUGUGACAUUUGCUGCAGAUGUGCCUGUGUACAUUGCUGGCCAGCAGGCUUUCUUCAACUAUUCUACAAGUAAAAGAAUCACUCGGCCAGGAAAUACCGACGAUCCAUCAGGGGGCAACAAAGUGCUCUUGCUCUCUAUUCAGAAUCCUCUUUACCCAAUUACGGUGGAUGUUCUGUAUACUGUAUGCAACCCUGUUGGAAAAGUACAGCGUAUUGUUAUCUUCAAGAGAAAUGGGAUACAAGCAAUGGUUGAGUUUGAGUCAGUCCUUUGCGCCCAGAAGGCUAAAGCAGCACUCAAUGGAGCUGAUAUAUAUGCCGGAUGUUGCACACUAAAAAUUGAAUAUGCAAGGCCAACUCGUCUAAAUGUUAUUAGGAAUGACAAUGACAGUUGGGACUACACUAAACCUUAUUUGGGAAGACGAGGUUGUUGUUGGCUUAUGCUGAAACUUCUUGAAAGAAGCCCACUUUGAAAAUGUGUUGCUGUUGAAGCUAAUAGUAUGAUUCAGAUAGAGGAAAGGGUCGCCAGAGACAAGCCAUUUUGGGAGACCAUCCUUCUUCGUUUAGACAUGAUGGCUAUGGAUCGCAUGGUCCGCUACUGCCUUUACCAAGUCGUUAUAGAAUGGGCUCUAGAGAUACACCUGAACUUGUUGCUUAUCCAUUACCACAAGCGUCUUCCUCUUACAUGCAUGGAGGCAGUCCGUCUGGCUCCGUUGUAAUGGUUAGUGGAUUACAUCAGCUCAAAAUGAAUUGUUCAAGAGUCUUCAACCUGUUCUGCUUGUAUGGAAAUAUUGAAAAGGUAAAGUUUAUGAAGACCAUUCCUGGCACAGCACUCGUAGAAAUGGGUGACGAGUACGCUGUGGAAAGAGCUGUCACCCACCUUAAUAAUGUCAAACUCUUUGGGAAAAGACUUAAUGUUUGUGUGUCUAAACAGCACUCAGUUGUUCCCAGUCAAAUAUUUGAGCUAGAGGAUGGUACGAGCAGCUACAAAGAUUUUGCAAUGAGCAAAAAUAAUCGCUUUACAAGUGCUGGACAAGCAUCUAAGAAUAUAAUCCAGCCACCGUCAUGUGUGCUGCAUUAUUACAAUGUUCCGCUGUGUGUCACAGAAGAGACCUUCACAAAGUUGUGUAACGACCACGAAGUUCUUCCGUUCAUCAAAUAUAAAGUGUUUGACGCGAAAGCUUCCGCGAAAACUCUGUCUGGGCUAUUGGAGUGGAAGUGCAAAACUGAUGCCGUGGAAGCUCUCACUGCGCUCAAUCACUACCAGAUACGAGUCCCGAAUGGAUCCAACCCCUAUACGUUGAAGCUUUGCUUUUCUACAUCAUCCCAUUUAUAAGAAGAGAAGAGCAUGUUAGAAUUUAUGUUCAUCUUUAUUGCAGUUUUAAAGCUAUACUUCAUCCAUAAUAAUCUAAAAUGGUUGGUCUAAUGUUGCCUUGCUUACUAUAAGAUCCUGUUCUGUAAUAAACAUAUUUUGCCUCAAGUAAGUUUGUUGUUAACUUAAAUAUUGUUUUCACCUUAAGAUAGAGUACCAUAAUGUAGACUGUCUACAGCUUCUUUGUAGAUUAUACAAAUGUAUGGUUUCUAACAUUAUUAUGAAUUUUGUUCCAUGGUAAAAUAUAUUUGCAUUCUUAAUAGUAAUUAUCUGCAGAUGUUUUUCCAUUGUGUAUUAGAUUAAUGCAGGUGAAAGUAUUGCAUUUUAAUACCGAAUUCCUACAAUAGAUGAUUGAGUCUGUUACAGUUACUCAUAUUAAAUAUAAUUUGUAUUUAUUAUUUAAUCAAAUUUGAGAAUGACGCUGCAUAUGUUGACUUCAGGAACUACAGACUUAGCUGACGUCAAUCUCUAAAAGGCUUAAUAGACACGAACACACUUGUAUGGUAUGCACUCAAACUCAGAUUGCUGUUUCUUUUAAAAAGUCAUCAUUUGUAUUGACAUGCUUCUGUUCCUAGUUCCAGUUUGGAGGUUUUAUAAAGUUAUAAUAAUAAGUUAAUGUGUUCAUCUUCAUUAUUUUGCAUGUGACCUAAUCUGAAAAGUACAUGUAGUAUUUGACAUUGAUAUUUUAAUACUGUAGAAGCUAAAAUUAACAAUUCUUCUAUAUAAUAAUCUGGGUUCCAUAAAUGAGUUUCAGAGAACUUGUGAGCCCUUCCAAAAUUGUGUGUAGAGUUUGGAAUAUAUGCAUUUUUAUUUCUUAAUCUUUGAUCCAUCAUAAUAUAUGUAUUUUUCUAUAUGGUGUAAGAUUUAAGAGUUAAUUUUAUUUUUGAUCAAAACAGCUAUUUGUCUCAACACCAUUUAUUAAACAUUCUCCCUCUGGGUUUGUUUCUUUCUCUUUUAAGUGA